rnacentral:rRNA from 1 species
CCUACGGGAGACAGCAGUGAGGAAUAUUGGUCAAUGGGCGCAAGCCUGAACCAGCCAAGUCGCGUGAGGGAUGACGGUCCUAUGGAUUGUAAACCUCUUUUGUCGGGGAGCAAGGCCCGCCACGUGUGGCGGGAAGGAGAGUACCCGAAGAAAAAGCAUCGGCUAACUCCGUGCCAGCAGCCGCGGUAAUACGGAGGAUGCGAGCGUUAUCCGGAUUGAUUGGGUUUAAAGGGUGCGUAGGCGGAAGGUUAAGUCAGCGGUCAAAUGUCGGUGCUCAACACCGGCCUGCCGUUGAAACUGGUCUUCUUGAGUGAGCGAGAAGUAUGCGGAAUGCGUGGUGUAGCGGUGAAAUGCAUAGAUAUCACGCAGAACUCCGAUUGCGAAGGCAGCAUACCGGCGCUCAACUGACGCUGAGGCACGAAAGCGUGGGGAUCGAACAGGAUUAGAUACCCCAGUAGUC